rnacentral:misc_RNA from 1 species
AAGAGUUGCAAAACUCCCAAACCAUUUGUUUAUCUACCUGUUUCGUUGCUUCGGCAGGCGGCCCCUGGGAGGGGCCCUGGCCUCGCGAGAGGUGCCUGCCGGAGGUUCCAAAACUCUUGUUAAUUACUGUUCUGUCUGAGUAAAAAUCAUAAUAAGUUA